UGCAGUCGUACAGGUGUGCAGCAAUCCAUGAGUAAAGUGGCGCACGGGUGAGUAACACGUGACUAACCUACCCUUGAGUGGGGAAUAACCUCGGGAAACCGGGGCUAAUACCGCAUAACACCUUCGGGUCAAAGGAGCAAUUCGCUUAAGGAGGGGGUCGCGGCUGAUUAGCUAGUUGGUGGGGUAAUGGCCUACCAAGGCAAUGAUCAGUAUCCGGCCUGAGAGGGCGCACGGACACACUGGAACUGAAACACGGUCCAGACUCCUACGGGAGGCAGCAGUGGGGAAUUUUGCACAAUGGGGGAAACCCUGAUGCAGCAACGCCGCGUGGAGGAUGAAGUCCCUUGGGAUGUAAACUCCUUUCGACCGGGACGAUUACGACGGUACCGGUGGAAGAAGCCCCGGCUAACUCUGUGCCAGCAGCCGCGGUAAUACAGAGGGGGCAAGCGUUGUUCGGAAUUAUUGGGCGUAAAGGGUGCGUAGGCGGUGCGGUAAGUCUUCUGUGAAAUCUCCGGGCUCAACUCGGAGCCUGCAGGAGAAACUGCCGUGCUUGAGUAUGGGAGAGGUGAGUGGAAUUCCUGGUGUAGCGGUGAAAUGCGUAGAUAUCAGGAGGAACACCUGUGGCGAAAGCGGCUCACUGGACCAUAACUGACGCUGAGGCACGAAAGCUAGGGGAGCAAACAGGAUUAGAUACCCUGGUAGUCCUAGCCCUAAACGAUGAUUGCUUGGUGUAGCAGGUACCCAAUCCUGCUGUGCCGCAGCUAACGCGUUAAGCAAUCCGCCUGGGGAGUACGGUCGCAAGGCUG
rnacentral:rRNA from 1 species